GGGAACUUCGGGCCCGCAGCCGCGGUAAGGCGAAGGGUGCGAGCGUUACUCGGAAUUACUGGGCGUAAAGGGUGCGUAGGUGGUUUUUUAAGUCUGCUGUGAAAGCCCCGGGCUCAACCUGGGAAUGGCAGUGGAUACUGGAAAGCUAGAGUGCGGUAGAGGGUAGUGGAAUUCCCGGUGUAGCAGUGAAAUGCGUAGAGAUCGGGAGGAACACCAGUGGCGAAGGCGGCUACCUGGACCAGCACUGACACUGAGGCACGAAAGCGUGGGGAGCAAACAGGAUUAGAUACCCGAGUAGUC
rnacentral:rRNA from 1 species